rnacentral:rRNA from 1 species
UACGAAGGGGGGCUAGCGUUGCUCGGAAUCACUGGGCGUAAAGCGCACGUAGGCGGAUCUUUUAAGUCAGGGGUGAAAUCCCAAGGCUCAACCUUGGAACUGCCUUUGAUACUGGGGAUCUCGAGUCCGGAAGAGGUUGGUGGAACUGCGAGUGUAGAGGUGAAAUUCGUAGAUAUUCGCAAGAACACCAGUGGCGAAGGCGGCCAACUGGUCCGGUACUGACGCUGAGGUGCGAAAGCGUGGGGAGCAAACAGGG